UGUUCUCGGAGUGUGCCGGAUUCGCACACGAGCCCGCGAAGCUCGAAGACCGGGUUCGACUCCUGGCGAGAACAU
rnacentral:tRNA from 1 species